GGGGAUGUAGUUUAGCCGGUAAAAUGUUUGACUUGCACUCAGAAGAAACGAGUUCAAUUCUCGUCGUCUCCA
rnacentral:tRNA from 1 species